CACGCAACUACUAAGUCCGGACCUGCAGCAACGUGAAUUGUACAGUAACAGGGCUGUAAGAGAGGUUUGAAUAAGCAACGUCAUUGAACUGAAGCACCAUCCUCCUCAUGGAGAUAAGAGACCAAUAAAGUCACACAGGAGGGAGCAUGGGGAUUGUGAAUCCACCGAAGAGACAUCAGCAGUAGAAUACCCACAGCCUUGUCUACGAUCCUGCCAUAUGAACCAGUAGAGGGAGUCCAAGGCUUGAAGCCUUCUGGCUGCAUCGUCCGCUGUGAUGAUGAUACGUGCGCACAACAGUCCCCUUCAAUCCCAGCGCAGGCCUGUCGCUCUGACCUUGCUGUGUCGAAGCAUCGUCUGUAAUUUGAAGCGUGGUGGUUAGACGGACUGAUGCGCUGGAUCUGGACGGACCUGAAGUCAGGUGGUGCAUAAUGGCUCGUCUCCUGCAUCUCAACGCGGCGCCGGCGACGACUGCAGAGGAAAACGGGCCUCCUCCAUUGAUUGUUUGUCUUGGAUUUGACAGUUGCCCUUUGACAGCGAUAUUCCAGUGAAACUGUCAUUCACCUCACUUCUACCGGGGUUAACAAGAUCGUUGUGUUUGUUAAACGCGCGACUCAGCAGUCUUUGGAAAAAGUCCUCUCCGCAACGAUGACAAGGCUGUUUUGCACUUCCUGUGUUCCACAGGGUCGAGCGAGUCCAGAUCCAAUCAGAAACCGCACCAAUUAGACGCCUGGACUGGCACUUAAUUACCACUCUGAAGAGACUGAUGGGCCAUUAAUUAGCAGGACAUUAACAGGACUGAUGCUGUUCAUCACAGCAGCGCAUAUUAGAGCAGAUAAGACCCGAAUGUAAUGGACUCCGCUGCUAUCGGCGGCGGCGCUGGGUGACCUGCUACGACAGUCAAGGCUGAGAUGAUAAUUCAGAGAGCGGCCACCGAAGGGAAAUAGAAGGAGGUUGUUCAUGUGGCUGAGGUCUGAAUCAGGGCAGUCCUGGUAAAUACAUGGGGAAACGGACCCGCGGGGUGUUGAAGGUUACUAAUCACCUCAGCCAGCAAGGUGGUAAACACAUGCAUCUGUGUCUGCGUGGGAGGCGAGCAGGUACGUUCCAGAGCCCUGCAAAGUGCAGAUCACCCACAUGGCUGCUGGUUGCUCGGCUCUCUGCAGCUCUCACGCCUUGAUUUUCUUUCACAGAGACAAAGAGAUUGUGUUCAUUGGAUCUUAUUAAAGUCCGGUUGAAGAAAAGGUGUGAUGCCAAUGGAUAUCAGCAAAUUAAAGCACAAAAUAGUUGUUAGUUGUUAGUAGUUGCUAAAUUAAAUCAAAAUGAAGAAAAAAUUGUUCUUUCAAAUAUUUUUAUCCUUUGAGAUAUUUUUUUCUGAAGGUUCUCAUACCGUCUGACAGGUUCAAUUUUCAAACCAAUCACAGAACUGAAAGUUUCUGCUUGUUGAAGCAUUUUACUGAUUGUAAUUUGAUAUUAGCGUUAAUACCUGCAGCGGAGGAAAAAGCAGGCAGAGGGAAAGCUGUGCAGCUCCUAUGUCAGCACUAACGAGAAGAAAAAAAACUAAUACAUAUAUAUACACACUCUAUUCUCACCCUCCGCGGGUGGUCUCAUCCACUUUCCAAGCUCGGGUCCUCUACCAGA